rnacentral:lncRNA from 1 species
UUGGCUACUUCAGCUUCUUUCUCUUCUUCUUCUUUUUAAAUAAACACUAAUAAAACAGGAUUGAUAUCUCUUGAAAGUUCUAGUGAAGCAGGGAGGUUUUCCAGAAGGUGGUUGGAUCCCUUUAUUAAAAGCAUCUGUGCCACGGCCACUGGCAGAAGCCCAAACAUCCUGAAGUGGACGGCUCUGGGAAAUCAGAAAGAUAGAACACAGCCAAAUUCUAAGAUGGAACAAAUCGUAAAGUCAUACUGCAUCUUAAUUUGAUGACCCACAGGAAAGGUUUUUCUGCCUCAUCAAGUCUAUAAAGCAAGGUAUUUAUGGUUUUCUUGAGCACUUAAUAGGUAACAAGAGUAAUGUAUAAUGAUGCUAUUACACUGACUUAACAUAGACUGUUUCUUAAGGUAUGUUGUUAAUUUUACUACUUUGAUUUUCUCCAUGUGUGAUUGAUUUUGCAUUCAUUGUUUCAUAAUAUAUAUCCAGCCUCAGUAAAGCAUUCCAAAAGCAGAAGCAAGCAAGCACUUAGGGAAUAUUCACAUUAAAGAAGUCUUGUAACUCAAAAGAUGAAAAAUGCCAUGUAUCUCCUCUCCAAUAUGGUAAUUAACAGCUGAAAGUCAACUCUGGAUCAUCUGUAUAGUGGGGCAGUAAAGGGCAUAUAAAAUCAUAAAUAAACCCAGACUGGUUUUUGUUUUGGAAUGGCUCCUGUACUUCCAUAUGAAUAAGAGAGUGACUCACCCCCUUGGGAAUUCACAGUACAUCAAACCAAAUUAGGAAGCCAGGCAGCUGUGACCUGGUUUUGUAAGGGCCAAGAAAACUACAGAGUUUCACUACUGAACCUAGUAACUCAAAAUGAUUCCCUGGUUCCCAUGCCAUUUGAUACAUGGGUGUACCUUACUGACUCAUAUAAAAUGCCACUCUGGGCUUGUGUUUUCUCUUACCUUACCCAGAGUUGUAUGUGAGGAAAUAAAGGCUUGAGAGAUCUUGAGGUGGCAGUUUACAGGAGGGUAAAAGGAAACAGGAGUUAGAAUAAACAAUGUUAGUAAAAACUUGGAUGCAAGAUUGACCUUAUGCAAUCUCUAAGGUACAUUGAAUUGAAUGAGGGAGAGAGUUCUAAACUGCUUGUUCUCAGUCUACUCCAGUAAGUUUUAUUUUUCAUUGUUUUGGGGAUGCUUUUGGGAAGGAUAGGAGGUUGGGAUGAAAGUAUAAGGGGUAUUUUUUUAUAGUAGAAAGGGAUGUGGAGAACAGGGUAGAAAGAGACUCUGAUUGUAUUAAUUUAGGAUCUGAUAAUAUUCGUCCAAAUUUGAUACACUCACAACCUACCCAAUAGCUAUGACUUUUUGGUACCUGGUUUAAUUUUCUGUGAAGGUAUUAGAAUAAAAAUUAGGAGAUAUAUUCUAUUUAUUUAUUUUCAUUGGCAAAUCAGCCUUGUUUCUUAAAGAAAAUGGAAACCUGUUUUUAUAAAGAAUUACUGAAGUAGUUUUCCUUGAAAAAAAAAUCUUCAGAAUGUCCAGAUGAUGGAUAUAUUAUGCUAUGAAAAUUUUAAUAUAGGGGAACAUCUCAUAAUGGAAACAGCUUAAUAAGCAGGGAAUUUCCAUGCACUGAUUUCUGUAGAAACUCUAGUAUUAUUUUUAUUCCUUGUUUGGUUACAAGCAAUGUUCUCUUGGCUUUUGUUCAGGGUAAAGCUUACAAAACUGCCUGUUGGGUUCUUUCAUCGUUAUUGUUGCCACUGGAAGGGCUUUUACCACCACUUUUGAACUCUACAGCCUCCUGAAUAUAUCUGUCCAUCUAAGAAAAGGAUUAAAUUCAAGAUAACCCUUGUCAUCUGCAUGCUGCCACAUGGUUAGGAUGAAGACUGACACACGAGACAAGUGAUGGAGUGUCACAGCCACAGAGGGGCACAUCAACCUGAUACAAGAGAAAUGGAGCGAGGAGAGGUGACUGUCUCAGGGGAGUGAUAGUCUUUCUGGGGAGGAAUUCUCAAACCCAAGUCCUUGUUUUGUUUUGCUUUUCCUUGGCAAUGAGAUUAUCUUGGAGGUAAAAUUGUGUAAAUGUGGACAACUGAGUAAAGGCAAACUACACAGAGAGUAGUGGAAAUAAGGAAUGGGAGAGGUGGAAAAGUAAAAGUAAACACAUGCUAAUGAUUCAGUGUUAAUUUUGUCAGGUUAAAUCACAGAAUUUGGAAAGAAAAAGGGCAUCCAACAGCCUUAAAGAUGAAGAAAUGGAAGCUCCAGAGUUGAAGAAAUGUGUCUUCACUCCCACAAGUAAUCUUGAAGUUCCGAGCCACCAUGAGAGUUUUCCUGACACUGAGGUAAUUUCCUACCAUGUUGACACCACCUUGCGCCAGUGUUCAAGACCAUCACAGCUAUGAACCUUGUUGGCUUGUAUCAGAUGCCUGCUGGGACCUUGGCUGCCCAUAGUGCUCUCUAAAGACUCCAGCUUUCCAUAACUCCUACAGUUUUAAGUUCAAGGAAUGAUGAAGAGGACGCCAAUGUACGGAUUUGAUUUACCAAAUCAGGCCUGUACAGCAGCUGAAUCAACCUAUGGGAAAAUUUUGGCUCUCUUUAACAUUCUAAUUUUUGAGAACACCAUUGCAAAUACAUGAUUUCCAAAAUAAUAACAAUGCACUUAAUUAAUCACAUUAUAGAUCAUCAUAUAAAAAUAAAUACCUAAAUAGAAAUACAAUUUAUUUUUUUCUUAAAUUCCAAAUUGCAUAGAGCUGCCUCCUCUGCAGUUUUCCAUCACUGCCUCCUUCUCAGACUUCUCCUUUUGUUUUUUCAUUUCUUUGUACAGACUCCAGUCAUUUGUUUAAAUAUUCAUACUCAACCAGAAUACGUUUCCUAAUGUGGGAAUCAUUGCUUAUUCACAGGCACAGCCCUUGACAUCCUGAAAACAUGUAGUAAUGAUUUUUGGAAUAAAGGUUUGACACUUCUACAUUUACAUGUAAAUGGAGUUAAAAAAUUCUAGGUUGAGAAUAAGAAUACUAUAAAAAUUUUGAUCUAAAAUGGAUGUUAGAGAUAACCCAGCGCAACCAGUUGCUCUUACAAUUGAGGAAACUGAGGUCAAGAAUGAGUGAGUGGCUCAGAGUCACCCAGCUCAUUAGAGCCUGAAUGAACCACCUUGGUUCACUACCUCUGUUCACCGCCCUUUCUAGUGCACUUCAUGAAAUCACUCUCUAAGUACACAUCAACUCAUUUAGAUACUUAAAUGAUUCUUGAGAAAGUAGAAAGUAUAAAUGCCUUGACCACACAUAAGAACUUUGACAUAUUUCACUCUCUGUACUGAAAUUUCUAACAAUGCCUGGUACAUAAUAGGUAUUCAGUUGAUUUGGGUUUCUACAUCCCUUUUCUCCUUCUCUUCUUCAAGUUUGCAUGUAAACCACAUUAAAGACUGCUAAUAUAUAAAGUAGGCACCAUCUCAUGAAUCAAAGAGGGGAUUCCUAGAGCCACUGAGGAUGUCUUUAGAAGCCAGUGGUGCUGAUCCCACAGCUACUCUCCUGUGGACAGUGGAAGUGCUCCCCAAAGUACAUUCUUAGGGGAAAUGGGGCUGCCGCCAUGAGGAGGUGUCAAUAGAGAUUAGAGAUGGUCUUUGUGCUGUGAGAGAGACCUCACAUUUCCAAAUGCCAAGUCCUUUCUUCCUCAGUCAAAUGUACCCCCUAGAACAUAGAUACCUACUAAGCUGUAGAUUUUUGAGGGGAUACAGAGCUGAAUCCAUAAGAUAGUGGAUUAUUCAGAUAAGAAUUUCUGUAGAUAGAGAGUUUCCAAUCAAUUAUGUACCCCAACAAUGUGAGGUCAACUACUUAGACUACCUCUUAGCUUCUACAUUUAGAUGUUUCAAAGUCUGUUCUGAUCCUUAAAUUUGACACUUCUCUUUAAUAUAAACAAAGCCCUUUUAGUAUUCUUUGGGAUUAGCUUACCACUUAAUAAAUUCCUUCCAACACUAUCUUCUGUGAGUCAACAAACAGCUUCCUCCUGUGAUUUGGGCCUGGCUAACAACAAGUUAGACUUCAGACGAAUAAUUACUAGGCUGAGGCAUUUUCCAGGUGGUACAUUCCCACUUUGAGGAAACUUGGUCAUUUUACUUUUGCAUUUAAGAUGUCCUUAGGCUGAAAAUAAAGUGUCAGUGUUUGAAAUGUCCUUCUCUGUAUCAUUGACUUGAUUUUUAGAUAAUAUUUCAGGCUGGACUGACACCAAAAGUGCUUUUCAAAAACACAUGAAAAGACCAAAAUUAUUUAAAUAAUUUACAAUAUAUGAAAGGUAGUAAAUUCUAGGCAAACAUUUUAACUAGGUUUUUAUGGAGAACUGACAGUGAGUAGCUUUGUGCUGAACCCUGUGUAAGGCAUUAAAUGAUGCACUCGUGUAAUUAUUUUCCCUAAAUUAAUGCCUGUCCCUGACACAUCUUAGACUUUUCCACCCUUGCCCUAAAUAACUUAAUUAAAAAAAAAAAUUCUCCCAGCUAA